CGGAGGAGGCCGGAUCCUGGGCUGUGUCCCGGCGCCCUGUGCUCCGGGGCCUGCGCUGUUGGAUUCGCGCUCCCGGGCCGCGCAGCCCCCU
rfam:Canis lupus familiaris chromosome 12, whole genome shotgun sequence.